UGGCCCGUCGGAUCUCAGGCCCGAUGUCAUGCAGCGUGCGCAAGCCAGCCUGGAAUCCAAGGGGAGGAUGAUUGAGUUUUUGUGCCAGGUGGCUUGGCUGCAUCCCUGCUGAGCUGGAUACCCAAGAUUAUAUGUGACAUCAUCAGUGCCUGUCCUGGGAGUGAACCUGAUGGUGGAGAAGCCAUAAGUUCCUAGAGGAAACAUUUCAUGCCUGGAAUACAACUGCUGUGUAAAUUGAUGAAAACUAUACUUUGGAUUAUUUAAACUUGGCCGAGAGAGGUUUGCAUUUUGGAAAACUGUAUUCCUGAUGGCGAUGCUCUUUGUGGUGUGUGGGUCACUCACCGUUCCCUGCAGGGCGGAAAGGAUCCUCAGCCCCUUGGUGGGCCUCUGAUGGGCUGGGUCCCUCUGCGUAAGGUAGGAAGCCACAGAUGGUGGCAUCUGCCCCACGCAACCCUGACUCAUCAGUUUCUUGCUUGCUUGCUUCACUUCUCCCCAGUCUUCCCAUUUUCCACCUCCUUCCUCUUCCCCUUCCUCUCUCCACCUUCCUUCCUUCCCCCUUCCCUCUCGUGCCCCCUCCAAUGCCAUUCCUCUCCCCUUCCCCCUGCCUGUGGCUCAGGCCAGCCAGGGGGCCCCUCCACUGGCACUCAGUGCUCUUCCUUGUGGACUGAGCCCAGCCCCUGGGCAGGAACAAUGGCGGCCACGCACUCACCAGCUGGAACACGUAUGGCCCUGCCACAGGCAGUGGGGGGCUGGUCCCCAUGGGUGGCAUUUCUCAUGGACCUCCUUGGGCAGCCACAGGGAACAUGGAUGAUUGGAGGGUACAUCUGUCAAUGAGGGCUCUGUCCCGAGUUCCCCCGCUUAGAUCCUGCCCUAUGCAGCCUCUGGGGUCCUAGCCUUACAGUGGUGAAAAAGGAAAGCUGAGCCUUACAGCUGUAAGGGCAGAUGUGGGGGGCAGGAUUCUAAGAUGCUCCUCACCAGGGUACACAUGCUGCCAAAGCCCUGGGCCCCUGACCGUCAUAGAUUUUACUCCUGAGAUUAGGUUAUAUGGCACACGGCACCUAUGACCUAAGACAGGGAGGUUAGGCAGGCCUGACCUAGUCACAUGAGCCCUUUCAAGGCAGAGUUCUCUCCAGCUGGCCUGGAAGAACGCAAACAGCCAUGUGGGCUGAACUGAGAGAGGCAGCCUCUAGGAGCUGAGGGGGUCCCCAGCUGUCAGCCAGCAGGAAAGCGAGGACCUCAGGCCUACAAUUGCAACAGAUGAAUUCCACCAACAAACAACGUGAUCUCCUCCAAAGCCUCCGGAAAAGACCAUGGCCUGAUCCAUCUCCUGGAUUUACCUUAUGAGAGCCCAGCUUCACCACUGCUGGACUUCCGACCUGCAAAACCAUGAGCUACUAACGGGGUGUCUUUUUUUUUUUUUUUUUUUAGACGGAAGUUUGCUCUUGUUGCCCAGGCUGGAGUGCAGUGGCGCGAUCUCGGCUCACUGCAACCUCUGCCUCCUGGGUUCAAGUGAUUCUCCUGCCUCAGCCUCCUGAGUAGCUGGGAUUACAGGCAUGUGCCACCAUGCCCAGCUAAUUUUAUAUUUUUAGUAGAGAUGGGCUUUCGCCAUUUUGGUCAGGCUGGUCUCAAACUCCCGACCUCAGGUGAUCGGCCUGCCUCAGCCUCCCAAAGUGCUGGGAUUACCUGUGUGAGCCACCAUGCCCAGCCAGCGGGGUGUCUUUUUAAGCUGAAAAGCUUGUAGUAAUUUGCUUUGCAGCAGUAGGAAACCAACACGGGAUGUUUACUGCUCUCGCAUAGGACCGGCAGUCCAGUAUUGUGGUUGAGGGCUCUUGUGUCAGACUGCCUGGGUUCAAAUCCACCUCUGGGGCCACAGGGCAGAGUAUGCAGAGGUGGCAGUAGAGGGAUUGACGGAAUCUCGAGCUCCCUGAAUGCCAGAUCCAAAUAGGACCUGAAGGCAGGGGAUGACUCCCGAGCCCUCCAGCUGUGCAGGCGAUCAAUCCCCUUCACGGGAGAGGUAGCUGGAGGUUUCUGACACACGCAGUGCAAGAUCCUGACACACACGGAAUCCAAAUAUACUUAGCUUCGGUACUGGGCCGAAUAGUGUCCUCCCAAAAUUCAUGUCUGCCUAGAACCUCAGAAUGUGGCCUUAGUUGGAAAUAGGAUUUUCACCCAUGUAAUUAGUUAAGAUGAAGUCAUCCUGGAUGAGGGUGGGCCCUACCUGGAUGAGGGUGGGCCCUACAUCCAAUGUGGCUGGUGUCCUUACAAGAGGAGAAGACACAAGACCGUGGAGGCUACGUGAAGAUGGAGGCACAGAUGGCGUGAUGCCGCUGUGAGCCAGUGCACACCAGGCAUCGUCCACAGCCCUCAGAAGCUGGGAGAAAGGGUGGAACAGAUUCUCCCCAGAGCCUCCAGAAAGAACCAACCCUGCUGACACCUUAGUUUUAGGCCUCUGGCCUCCUAAACUGACAGAACUUUCUCUUGUUUCAAGCUGCCCAGUUUGUGAUCAUUUGUUACAGCAGACCUAAGAAAUUAACAUAGCUUCCAAAAGGACCUUUCAUUUUUUUAUCAGCCUUAAUGUAUUAUCAUGAUGGUCUGUGUAAUUGUGGAAGUUCGCCAAUUGUUUCAUGUCAUCUAAGUAUUUUUCAUCUCUUCCUUCUAUGUUCCAAGAGAGAAGCUUGUUUGGCUGGUGCUGGACUUGGGCUGAGCUCUUCCUUCUGUGUUCCAAGAGAGAAGCUUGUUUGGCUUGGUACUGGACUUGGGCUGAGAGCUCUGCUUCUCUGAGGGCCGUCCUGACCAGGGCAAACAGGGUGGCAUUGAACAUGACUGUACCGUCGCUGUUCAGAGGCAUGUUCAUGGAGACCAGGCGCUGCAGGGGAAGAGAAGCGAAGCUGGUGAUGAUGGCAGACGGUGCUUAGGGGACCACAGAACACCGUGGCAGAGUGAUAUGGUUUGGAUCUGUGUCCCCGCCCAAAUCUCAAGUUGAAUUGUAAUCCCCAGAAUUGGAGGUGGGGCCUGAUGGAAGGUGAUUGCAUCAUGGGGUGGAUUUCUCAUAAAUGGUUGGGUACCAUCCCCUUGGUGAGUGAGUUCUCAUGAGAUCUGCUUGUUUAAGUGUGUGGUCCCUCCCCCUUCUCUCUUACUCCCUGUCUCUCCAUGUGAUGCACCUGCCUCCCCUUUGCCUUCCACCAUGAUUGGAAGCUUCUGGAGGCCUCCCCAGAAGCAGAAUGCUAGUGCCAUGCUUCCUGUACAGCCUGCUGAACUGUGGGCCAAUUAAACCUGUUUUCUUAUAAAUUA